rnacentral:rRNA from 1 species
UGCAAGUCGUACGAUGGAUAGCCCCUAACGGUGGUGGAUUAGUGGCGAACGGGUGAGUAACACGUGGGCAAUCUGCCCUGCACUCUGGGACAAGCCCUGGAAACGGGGUCUAAUACCGGAUAUGAUCACCGGCCGCAUGGUCUGGUGGUGGAAAGCUCCGGCGGUGCAGGAUGAGCCCGCGGCCUAUCAGCUUGUUGGUGGGGUGAUGGCCUACCAAGGCGACGACGGGUAGCCGGCCUGAGAGGGCGACCGGCCACACUGGGACUGAGACACGGCCCAGACUCCUACGGGAGGCAGCAGUGGGGAAUAUUGCACAAUGGGCGAAAGCCUGAUGCAGCGACGCCGCGUGAGGGAUGACGGCCUUCGGGUUGUAAACCUCUUUCAGCAGGGAAGAAGCGCAAGUGACGGUACCUGCAGAAGAAGCACCGGCUAACUACGUGCCAGCAGCCGCGGUAAUACGUAGGGUGCGAGCGUUGUCCGGAAUUAUUGGGCGUAAAGAGCUCGUAGGCGGCGUGUCACGUCGGAUGUGAAAGCCCGGGGCUCAACCCCGGGUCUGCAUUCGAUACGGGCAGGCUAGAGUUCGGUAGGGGAGAUCGGAAUUCCUGGUGUAGCGGUGAAAUGCGCAGAUAUCAGGAGGAACACCGGUGGCGAAGGCGGAUCUCUGGGCCGAUACUGACGCUGAGGAGCGAAAGCGUGGGGAGCGAACAGGAUUAGAUACCCUGGUAGUCCACGCCGUAAACGUUGGGAACUAGGUGUGGGCGACAUUCCACGUCGUCCGUGCCGCAGCUAACGCAUUAAGU